rnacentral:rRNA from 1 species
AGAGUCUGGGGGUAUUGCGUUACAACGGCGAGUGAAGCGGCAAAAGCUCAAAUUUGAAAUCUGGCACCUUCGGUGUCCGAGUUGUAAUUUGAAGAAGGUAACUUUGGAGUUGGCUCUUGUCUAUGUUCCUUGGAACAGGACGUCACAGAGGGUGAGAAUCCCGUGCGAUGAGAUGCCCAAUUCUAUGUAAAGUGCUUUCGAAGAGUCGAGUUGUUUGGGAAUGCAGCUCUAAGUGGGUGGUAAAUUCCAUCUAAAGCUAAAUAUUGGCGAGAGACCGAUAGCGAACAAGUACAGUGAUGGAAAGAUGAAAAGAACUUUGAAAAGAGAGUGAAAAAGUACGUGAAAUUGUUGAAAGGGAAGGGCUUGAGAUCAGACUUGGUAUUUUGCGAUCCUUUCCUUCUUGGUUGGGUUCCUCGCAGCUUACUGGGCCAGCAUCGGUUUGGAUGGUAGGAUAAUGACUAAGGAAUGUGGCUCUACUUCGGUGGAGUGUUAUAGCCUUGGUUGAUACUGCCUGUCUAGACCGAGGACUGCGUCUUUUGACUAGGAUGUUGGCAUAAUGAUCUUAAGCCACCCGUCUGAAAACCGGGGACCCAAAACCAAGUAAAAGAAAAUUAGGGGUUUAGACCAAAAUUUUAAGAGGGUUUAGCUACAAUAGAUACUUGUUUAAUCCAUUCCCCUUCUUUCAGAAUUGUUGUAGCUAU